rnacentral:rRNA from 1 species
AAUGAACGUUGGCGGCGUGGAUUAGGCAUGCAAGUCGAGCGGGUGUAGCAAUACACCAGCGGCGAAAGGGACAGUAAUACGUAGAUACGUACCCUCCGGCCUGGGAUAGCUCGCCGAAAGGCGAGGUAAUACCAGAUGACGUCUCCGGACCAAAGGUGUGAUUCCACCGGGGGAGCGGUCUACGCCCUAUUAGCUUGUUGGCGGGGUAACGGCCCACCAAGGCAAUGAUGGGUAGCGGGUGUGAGAGCACGACCCGCGUCACUGGGACUGAGACACUGCCCAGACACCGACGGGUGGCUGCAGUCGAGGAUCUUCGGCAAUGGACGCAAGUCUGACCGAGCGACGCCGCGUGCGGGAUGAAGGCUUUCGGGUUGUAAACCGCUGUCAGUGGGGAGGAAAUCUAGGUGGGUACUCCCAUCUAGUUGACCUAUCCGCAGAGGAAGCAAGGGCUAAGUUCGUGCCAGCCGCCGCGGUAAUAC